rnacentral:rRNA from 1 species
GACGAACCGUCCUAACGUUGUUCGGAUUCACUGGGCUUAAAGGGCGCGUAGGCGGGUGGGCUCGCCCGGGGUGAAAUCUUUCGGCUUAACCGGAAGACGGCCUCGGGGACGGCCUGUCUGGAGGGAGGUAGGGGUCUGUGGAACUUCCGGUGGAGCGGUGAAAUGCGUUGAUAUCGGAAGGAACGCCGGCGGCGAAAGCGACAGACUGGACCUCUUCUGACGCUGAGGCGCGAAAGCCAGGGUAGCGAACGGG